GUUCUUUUGAUAUUAAUUUAAGGUCUAAUCUGCUCAAUGAAGAGUUAAAUAGCCGCAGUAUUUUGACUGUGCGAAGGUAGCAUAAUAAUUAGUCUAUUAAUUAUAGACUUGUAUGAAUGAUUGAACAAGAAAAUUUCUGUCUCUUUUUAAUUUUUUUUUGAAUUUAAUUUUUAAGUUAAAAUGCUUAAAUAUUUAUUAAAGACGAGAAGACCCCAUAGAGUUUUAUUUUUAUAAAGUUUUAGUAUAAUUAUUUAAAAGAAAAAUUAGUUGGGGUGACUAAAAGAUUUAAUUAACUCUUUAAAUUUAAAUCAUUGAUUUAUGAAUAUAAAGUCUAAUUUUUUAAGUUUAAAUUAAAUUACCUUGGGGAUAACAGCGUAAUUUCUUUUUAGAGUUCUUAUCAAAUAAGAAGAUUGCGACCUCGAUGUUGGAUUAAAAUUUAUUUUAGGUGUAGAAGCUUAAAUAUUGAGUCUGUUCGACUUUUAAAA
rnacentral:rRNA from 1 species